rnacentral:rRNA from 1 species
UCAGACGAUGCGUCAUGCAUAUCAAUAAGCGGAGGAAAAGAAACUAACAAGGAUUCCCUUAGUAACGGCGAGUGAAGCGGGAAGAGCUCAAAUUUGAAAUCUUGAAAGGUCACCUUUCACGAAUUGUAGUUUAAAGAAGUGUUUUCUGUUACGAUCGUAAUAUAAGUUCUUUGGAAUAGGACAUCACAGAGGGUGAGAAUCCCGUCUAUGAUUGCGAUUUUCAGCUUUGUGAUACACUUUCAAAGAGUCGGAUUGUUUGGGAAUGCAGUCCAAAAUGGGAGGUAAAUUUCUUCUAAGGCUAAAUAUUGGCGAGAGACCGAUAGCGAACAAGUACCGUGAGGGAAAGAUGAAAAGAACUUUGAAAAGAGAGUUAAAUAGUACGUGAAAUUGUCAAAAGGGAAGCGUUUAACACCAGUGUUGUUUUCUGAAAAUCAACCUCUGUUAGCUUUAUGCAUGUUUGUUUAGACCUAAUCAGCUAUCUUGCAUGUUCUAUUGUUUGCAGUGGUGCACUUUUCAGUUUACAGGUCAACAUCAGUUUUUUUUACCGUAAAAAGGUUAAAGAAAGGUAGCUCAUGGCUCCGGUCGUGAGUGUUAUAGUCUUUUUCCUAUGCGGUAGGAGAGACUGAGGUCUGCAGUGUAGGCUAUUUGGCUAGAUACUCAGGUGCUAUGUGAUACCAUUUCAUAAACAACUUGUUGAUUAUGUUUUGUCUAUUGCAUACUCGCUUGUACUAUCAUACCUACGCUUAGGAUGUUGAUCUGUAGUGCGUGCGC